rnacentral:rRNA from 1 species
UAAGGAAUAUUGGUCAAUGGGCGCAAGCCUGAACCAGCCAUGCCGCGUGCAGGAAGACGGCCCUAUGGGUUGUAAACUGCUUUUGUCAGGGAAUAAACCCCCGCUCGUGAGCGGGGCUGAAGGUACCUGAAGAAUAAGCAUCGGCUAACUCCGUGCCAGCAGCCGCGGUAAUACGGAGGAUGCAAGCGUUAACCGGAUUCAUUGGGUUUAAAGGGUGCGCAGGCGGAUUGGUAAGUCAGGGGUGAAAUCCCACAGCUCAACUGUGGAACUGCCUUUGAUACUGUCAGUCUAGAGUAUAGUUGAAGUGGGCGGAAUGUGUCAUGUAGCGGUGAAAUGCUUAGAUAUGACACAGAACACCGAUCGCGAAGGCAGCUCGCUAAGCGAUAACUGACGCUCAUGCACGAAAGCGU